CGCUAUCACUCCUACGGGAGGCAGCAGUGGGGAAUAUUGCACAAUGGGCGCAAGCCUGAUGCAGCCAUGCCGCGUGUGUGAAGAAGGCCUUCGGGUUGUAAAGCACUUUCAGUCGUGAGGAAGGUAGUGCAGUUAAUAGCUGCAUUAUUUGACGUUAGCGACAGAAGAAGCACCGGCUAACUCCGUGCCAGCAGCCGCGGUAAUACGGAGGGUGCGAGCGUUAAUCGGAAUUACUGGGCGUAAAGCGCAUGCAGGCGGCCUGUUAAGUCAGAUGUGAAAGCCCGGGGCUUAACCUCGGAAUUGCAUUUGAAACUGGCAGGCUAGAGUCUUGUAGAGGGGGUAGAAUUUCAGGUGUAGCGGUGAAAUGCGUAGAGAUCUGAAGGAAUACCAGUGGCGAAGGCGGCCCCCUGGACAAAGACUGACGCUCAGAUGCGAAAGCGUGGGGAGCAAACAGGAUUAGAUACCCUGGUAG
rnacentral:rRNA from 1 species